rnacentral:SRP_RNA from 1 species
CAAGAUAGGCCGGCAGGGUAGGGGUCUGCUAUUUAGCGCAAAUCCUCUUAUGGCGCGGCUGAUAGGUUGAUGGCGUUUAAUGAAGCUUAUAGUAAGUCUAUAAUUUUUGUGAAGACGCUUAUGCCUAUAUGGAUAGUUGUAUUAGUGAACCUGGUCAGGCCGGAAGGAGCAGCCAUAAGCUAAUAUAACUAUGCUGUGUAGAAACAAAGCCGAGCAAAGAAUUAUAGAUACUGCUGUAGGCUUUAUUAAGCCACAUCAACCAUUCUUG